rnacentral:lncRNA from 1 species
UUUUCUUGAACCCCGAAAUUUUUCUCUUGCGCAAAUGAUCCUCGGAUCACUGCAUUUGAACCCCACUCUCCUGUUUGCCAAAAUAAUGAACCCCAUUCUCCAGAAAACACCUCGUGUCUCCUUUUCUCCAUUUGAACCCCAGUCGCCUGACGAUAACUUGUGAUCGCCAAUGUGAACCCCGUUCUCCAGAAAAUGCCGCAACAUCUCCCUUUCUCCAUUUGAACCCCGUCUC